AUUGAACGCUGGCGGCAUGCCUUACACAUGCAAGUCGAACGGUAACAGGUUAAGCUGACGAGUGGCGAACGGGUGAGUAAUGUAUCGGAACGUGCCCAGUCGUGGGGGAUAACUGCUCGAAAGAGCAGCUAAUACCGCAUACGACCUGAGGGUGAAAGCGGGGGAUCGCAAGACCUCGCGCGAUUGGAGCGGCCGAUAUCAGAUUAGGUAGUUGGUGAGGUAAAGGCUCACCAAGCCGACGAUCUGUAGCUGGUCUGAGAGGACGACCGGCCACACGGGGAGGAGAAGCCGCCCAGACCCCCAGGGGAGGGCAGGGGGGGGGAAUUUAGGAAAAGGGGCCCAAUCCGGCUCCACCCGUGCCGCGGGGGGAAAGAUGGCUUUGGGGUUGAAAACCGUUUUUGGGGGGAAAAAAAAGGUUCUGGCAAAUACCGGGGACUCAGGAGGUUACCUGAAAAAAAACCCCCGGCUAACUCCGUG
rnacentral:rRNA from 1 species